ACACAUAUAUAUACACACACACACACACACACAUAUAUAUAUAUAUAUGUGUGUGUGUAUGUAUAUGUAUAUGUAUAUGUAU